GACGAACGCUGGCGGCGUGCUUAACACAUGCAAGUCGAACGGAAAGGCCCUGCUUUUGUGGGGUGCUCGAGUGGCGAACGGGUGAGUAACACGUGAGUAACCUGCCCUUGACUUUGGGAUAACUUCAGGAAACUGGGGCUAAUACCGGAUAGGAGCUCCUGCUGCAUGGUGGGGGUUGGAAAGUUUCGGAGGAUGGGGAUGGACUCGCGGCUUAUCAGCUUGUUGGUGGGGUAGUGGCUUACCAAGGCUUUGACGGGUAGCCGGCCUGAGAGGGUGACCGGCCACAUUGGUACUGAGAGACGGCCCAGACUCCUACGGUAGGCAGCAGUGGGGAAUAUUGCACAAUGGGCGGAAGCCUGAUGCAGCAACGCCGCGUGCGGGAUGACGGCCUUCGGGUUGUAAACCGCUUUCGCCUGUGACGAAGCGUGAGUGACGGUAAUGGGUAAAGAAGCACCGGCUAACUACGUG
rnacentral:rRNA from 1 species